GCUGUAACGUGGCUGAUCCUUCGAGGACGAGUUGAUGACAACGGGGUUGCUGGAGAUGCAGGAGUGAUUGGUCAUCGAUCCAGGGAGAGAGAGAGAGAGAGCGAAACAUUAGGGAGGAACGGAGUCGUUACUUAAACUACGGAUCGCGUGUCGGCAGCCCUAUCUGCUCAUUUAUGUUCUAAUGCCUGGCUGGUUAUUAAAUGAAGACUGUUAUGAGAUGUUCUGCUGUCGAGACCUCAGCCAUUUGGAACGUAAUCGAGUUUUUUAUAACAUUAUCCCUGAAUUCAGGAAAAAAAAAAGUAUUCGUGAUUCAAGAAUGUUAAGAGGAUAGACGAUUUAGACAUGUAGAUAUACUCAGAGUAAUAUACGAAUAAAGAAAAGUUCGCCGGAAUUGUAUUCAACCUUCAAUAAUAAAAACACUGGAAAAAGGCAUAGAAAAUUCAAUAUGAAGAUAUAUGGUCUUUGACAAUCAAAGAGAUGACAGAGCAAAUUGAGAAUGCAGAGAUGAGGACAAUGCGUGGAACGCUCGAGGGUUGCGACAAGUGGAUGAGAAAAUCUCGCGGUUAACACGGGGGAUGCAUUUAUCCGUCGUUUAUCCGGUUUAUCGAGCGUCAGGUGCAUAUCGACUGAAUAACACCGGGAGCACUCGCCGGGAGUGGUGCAAGGGGUGCAAGAGUGGCGAAGGGUUGGCGAGAUUCGACGGACCCCGAGUAUGCGACGCUCGACUGCGGACGCUUCGACCGGGAGUUGAUACGCCGAUGCGAUACGCCGCUAAAUAGCCUUAAGUGGGAUUACGUCUUUCGCUAUUGUGCGGCGGAAGGAGGAGCUCGUACAAAUUUCGGUCUUUGUGUGGCGCCGGGGCGUUCUCGGCGCCUCGCCUCGCAUUACGGAGGGUGCCGAAUUCAUCGGGCAACGCAUCUCUCUUCCGGACCGUGCCGGCCGUGUUCUCCGGAAUAAUUGUACUCGUGAUUUCAGCGCGCCUAUUCUGGAACCAGAUUUUGAUUUGCGUCUCGGUAAGUCUCAAGGAAGUUGCGAGCUCGAAUCUGCGUCCC